rnacentral:lncRNA from 1 species
AAAUGAGUAUUACCCUGCUUGCUAUCUAUUCCAGAGCUGGUGAAAAGUUUCCAAGUGGUUUGGAGCUCAGGAGUCAGUCUAAAAUUAUAACGCUAAUACAAAAGUUCAGCCUCAGAGCAUUUCUUUGUGACAGCUGUGAAUUUAUAUGAAGAAAUCUUACUGAUAAAAAGAGCACAAUUACAAAUGGGUCAUUUGUUUGUGCUCUCAAGAGUAUUUUUAUAAACUUAUGUUGAUACGUAUUCCCUGGAAUAUCCUAAAAAAACAUUUGCUUACCUCUAAUAAUGUUGUUUAUAAAUGACCCAUUUCCAGAUGUUCCUUCAGGGUGGUAUUUGCAUAAUAAUAUAUGACCAUGCUUCAUCCCACCCCCACAAAUAAUUAACAAUGCUAAGAACAGGAUAUGUUUGAUAAAUGAGGAAGAAACACUAAAUCCAUGUAUUCUACUCUGGAAAUUUCAU